rnacentral:rRNA from 1 species
CCUACGGGUGACAGCAGUGGGGAAUAUUGGUCAAUGGGCGCAAGCCUGACCCAGCCACGCCGCGUGAAGGAAGACGGCUUUCGGGUUGUUAACUUCUUUUCUCAGGGACGAAGAAAGUUACGGUACCUGAGGAUUAAGCCACGGCUAACUACGUGCCAGCAGCCGCGGUAAUUCGUAGGGAGCAAGCGUUAUGCGGAUUUAUUCGGUGUAAAGGGCGUGUAGGGGGGAGCGAAAAUUAGCUGUGAAAACUCAGGGCCCAAACCUUAGCCUGCAUUUGAAACUGUGUUUCUUGAGUGCUGGAGAGGUAAACGGAAUUCGGGGUGUAGCGGUGAAAUGCGUAGAUAUACGGAGGAACACCAGUGGCGAAGGCGGAUUGCUGGAGAGUAACUGACGCUGAGGCGCGAAAGCGUGGGGAGCAAACAGGAUUAGAUACCCGAGUAGUC